rnacentral:rRNA from 1 species
GACGAGCGCUGGCGGCGUGCCUAAUACAUGCAAGUUGAACGCAACAAAGACACCAGAGCUUGCUCUACCGUCUUUGUUGAGUAGCGAACGGGUGAGUAACGCGUGGGUAACCUGCCUUAUAGCGGGGGAUAACUAUUGGAAACGAUAGCUAAUACCGCAUAACAAUAGAGAUUGCAUAAUCUUUAUUUGAAAAGUGCCAACUGGUACACUAUGAGAUGGACCCGCGUUGUAUUAGCUAGUUGGUAGUGUAAUGGACUACCAAGGCGAUGAUACAUAGCCGACCUGAGAGGGUGAUCGGCCACAUUGGGACUGAGACACGGCCCAAACUCCUACGGGAGGCAGCAGUAGGGAAUCCUUCGGGCAAUGGACGAAAG